AAUUUUAAAUGUUAAUAUGCAAAUCCAUAGUCUAGAGCAAAAUUUCAAAGGUAAUUGAAUUCACAAAGGUAAGGUAAACCUGGCUUUUAAUAACUCUACAGCAGAAAGGAAUGACUGUAGAGAAUGACCAUACAGCUGUUAUGGAGAGGAGCAAUGAACAAAGGACAAUUCAGGUGGUAACGUGUUUACUUCUUAGACUGUAGUCCUGCUGCUGUUUGAUUUCUCACUGUAGUGUCAUCCAAAUUUAAAACUUGCUACUUAAAAUGUUUAUUUUCUUUUUUAAGCACAGAAAACCUUGGCUAAACAGAGAUUCAUAAAUAAUAAACUAUGAAUGCAAAUAUUCCAACAAUUUCCUCUUUAACAGGAUAUCAGUAUUUAAUCAUAUAAUUGAAAAUUGGCUGUCAUGACACUUAAUUAUAUUAGAAAGAAUAAAAAUGCA